GCCGAAAUCCAAAUUUUCGGCGGCGUCGGCGGACUUGGACCGGGCCUAAAACGGGCCCAACAAAUCUCAGCCCAAAUUGAGAUUUGUUAAUGAGUCGGGCUGGGCUUGCUGCAGACACUGGGCUUGGGCCUGCGGUCUGGGCUUGGCUUCGUGGGCUUCAAAUUCUGCUGGAGAUGGGCCCAACUGCUGGGCUAAAAAUGUUGUAAUCCACGGGCUGGCUUCACUCAAUUUCACACGGGCUGCUGCUGGGCUUCAAGAGGGGCUGAAGGAACGCUUCGCUGGGCUUGAAGACACGAACAGCUGGAUUGGAAUUCGCUGGCGGUUGAAGACGCACGGAGAGGAUGCAGCUGGCGAUGCUCGAGCUAGGGGAUUCGGUGCUGCUGGCUCCGCGCGAGGCUUCGGUCAGCAAGGCUUUGUGGAGAACUUCUUUAGUAGACCAAGGGAGGCCAGCUCAUGGACAGAUGGCGUGGAUGAGGGGGUGGUUGCAGCGUGCGAAGGAGCUGCGGGUCAACGAAAUGGCGUCGCUUGAAGGCUUCUGCUGAAGGUUGACCGAAGGGGGAACAAAUAAUGGUGGAGAGAAAGGCUGGAUAUUGACUGGAACGUGGCAGCAACUGGGGUGGCGGUCGUGCGUGAAGAUGGAUGAUCCGCCGAAGGAGCUGGCGUGAAAUUUUCGGGGAGGCGAGGGCUGAGCUUCGUGGGCGUGGGGUUUCGGUGAGUGGAGAGAGAUGAGGAGAUGCUGAGGAAAUGAAAAAUGAAAGC
rnacentral:lncRNA from 1 species